CCUACGGGAGGCAGCAGUGGGGAAUAUUGCACAAUGGGGGAAACCCUGAUGCAGCCACGCCGCGUGAGUGAAGAAGGUUUUCGGAUUGUAAAGCUCUGUUAGCAGGGAAGAGGAAAGACGGUACCUGCAGAGGAAGCCACGGCUAACUACGUGCCAGCAGCCGCGGUAAUACGUAGGUGGCAAGCGUUGUUCGGAAUAACUGGGCGUAAAGGAGGCGUAGGCGGUUAAACAAGUUUGAAGUGAAAUAUCAAGGAUUAACCUGGAGAAAGCAUAUAAAACUGUUUAACUAGAGUGCUGGAGAGGUAAGUGGAAUUCCUAGUGUAGCGGUGAAAUGCGUAGAGAUUAGGAGGAACACCAGUGGCGAAGGCGACUUACUGGACAGUAACUGACGCUGAGGCAUGAGAGCGUGGGGAGCAAACAGGAUUAGAUACCCUUGUAGUC
rnacentral:rRNA from 1 species